GAUGAACGCUGACAGAAUGCUUAACACAUGCAAGUCAACUUGGACUUCGGUUUGGGUGGCGGACGGGGUGAGUAACGCGUAAAGAACUUGCCUCACAGAUAGGGACAACAUUUGGAAACGAAUGCUAAUACCUGAUAUUAUGAUUUUAGGGCAUCCUAGAAUUAUGAAAGCUAUAUGCGCUGUGAGAGAGCUUUGCGUCCCAUUAGCUAGUUGGAGAGGUAACGGCUCACCAAGGCGAUGAUGGGUAGCCGGCCUGAGAGGGUGAUCGGCCACAAGGGGACUGAGACACGGCCCUUACUCCUACGGGAGGCAGCAGUGGGGAAUAUUGGACAAUGGACCAAGAGUCUGAUCCAGCAAUUCUGUGUGCACGAUGAAGUUUUUCGGAAUGUAAAGUGCUUUCAGUUGGGAAGAAAAAAAUGACGGUACCAACAGAAGAAGUGACGGCUAAAUACGUGCCAGCAGCCGCGGUAAUACGUAUGUCACAAGCGUUAUCCGGAUUUAUUGGGCGUAAAGCGCGUCUAGGUGGUUAUAUAAGUCUGAUGUGAAAAUGCAGGGCUCAACUCUGUAUUGCGUUGGAAACUGUGUAACUAGAGUACUGGAGAGGUAAGCGGAACUACAAGUGUAGAGGUGAAAUUCGUAGAUAUUUGUAGGAAUGCCGAUGGGGAAGCCAGCUUACUGGACAGAUACUGACGCUGAAGCGCGAAAGCGUGGGUAGCAAACAGG
rnacentral:rRNA from 1 species